CGUAGGUGGUCUGAUAAGGGUGUGGUGAAAGUCCGGGGCUCAACCCCGGAUCUGCCGUGCCGACUGUCAGACUCGAGGACUGUAGAGGCAGACGGAAUUCCGGGUGUAGCGGUGGAAUGCGUAGAGAUCCGGAGGAAGACCGGUGGCGAAGGCGGUCUGCUGGGCAGUUUCUGACACUGAGGCGCGACAGCGUGGGGAGCAAACA
rnacentral:rRNA from 1 species